GUAGCUCUCACGUCGGCUAGUAGUAAUUUCGCGCUGUAUGGGCGCGAAAUUACACUAUUAAAGUAGGAAUCUCGCGCCACGCGAAAUUCCUACUUUAUUAGUGUAAUUUCGC